UUUGACAAUAGUCCAUCAAGCUUUCUUGAAUCAAAUCGAACAAGUUCCUUAGUAAAUGGUUUGUUGGGUGGAAUUCAAAGUUCUUUGCAUCCCAUUGAGAAAAGGAUGUCAAACAAGAUUUUUGAUCCGAACUAAGUAGCCCAACCUCUUACCAGAGACGUUAAACACUAGCAUUUGUAGGUAGGGUUUCAAACCCUAUUCCCCCCUCAUUUCUUUUAUUUUUUAUUUUUUUUGCGUCGUCUAGAUAAGUUUCAAUGUGUUUUGUUUGAGUUUUCGGGUAUUUUUCUGCAUUUUCUACAAUCUUUGUGUCUUCCACAAUCGAUCGCCAAUUGCAGAGUCCAUUUUUACCUGAAAAUCACCUCUCGGUAUCAUCCUUUGUUGGACUCCACGAUUGAUCGCCAUUGUGCCUCAAAAUUUUCAAUCUUCCAGAGUAUCCUUCGUUAACUUGACGAUCGAUCGCCGAUUGCAGUGAUCGAUCGCACUAGAGCCAAAAAUUCCUUUUCUAAAAUUCAAUUUUGGAUUCGCGAUGGAUCGUGAAUAAUUCAGCGAUUAAUCGUCGACCCACGAUCGAUCGCCAAAGCGACUGAUCAAAUUUCAAAAAUGCUUUAGCCGUUUAGCUUACCAACCCUAAUUUUUAAUCUUUCUUUUUCUCUCCUCUCUCUUACCUUUUUUUCUUCCUUCAUUCCUUUUUUUUUCUUUUUUCUCCUCCCUCAUUCUCCCUCUAAACCUCUCGACUUCCACCUUCCUCUCUUCUUUAUCUCUCAAUCUUACCUUCUCCCUCAACCGAAGCUCUCAAACCCUUGCCCCUAUCUCCCUUCCAUCUCACAACCCCUCUCAUCCCUCACCACCAUCCACAACCCCGAAGGCCAAACCUCUCAUUCUCUCUGUUUCCCGAAGCCCCAAGUUCCUCUCUUUGCGCAGCCGUGAUCUCGUCGUCGGCAGAGCUCUUGGCCAAAAAGGCUUAGCUCUUCUCCUUCUCUCUCAGUCCUCUAAUCUCAGUUCUCUCUAUCUCCCUUUCUCCGACCGACUAAGGCCAAGGAGAACCGCCGGCAUCCUUUGCAUUUUCCGGCGACAUUUCAGCCGGAAUCUCUCAAGUUCUCUUCCCUUCCUUCUUUGAUUUCGUCUCUCGGAUACAGUGAAAGAACUCAAUUGCUAAAAAGAGAGUUACCAGGCCUCGACAGCCACUUCCUUCUCCAGAGGAGGAAUCUUCUUCUACAAAGUCUGAGGCGAUUGCAUCAUCAUCUACAUUUUCUUCUGGUCCCGCAUCUAUGAAUACAGAGGGCCCCAUAGUCAGAGCAGUUCUUGACCCCUAUUUUUCUGAGAGAGAUCAGGAGUCGAAGCACACAUUUGAUACUGAUUUCUUUGCCCGGUCUGAGCAAACCAAGUGGGCUUUUGAUGAGAUGACCCGGUACGGCAUCGCAGCUAUUCUUAUGCUAACCAACGGUAAGGUGUAUCCCUGGUUGGUUGCAUUGUUCUACCAGCACCUCCGACGGGAGGAGGAUGAUCGACAGAUCUUCCAUACUAUUGUGGAUGGCCGAUAUAUUACCAUUUCUACAUUCUCUAUAGAGAUUGCCUGCAGAUACCCCCACAUGUCUUCAGUGGUUACCGAGUCUGAGCAGCCUUUAUAUCCGAUUAUUACAGAGUUUCCUUUAGAUACGGAUAUGGCUGCAUCUCUCUCUCCUCAGACAGCUUAUUUAGGCAACCCUUAUGCCGAGCAGAUGGACAUUCCAUCCAGAUUAUGAUUUAUUGACUUAGUGCUUUUCCGCAAUGCCUUUUAUCUGGGCAUAAUACUUAGAGGCAAGAGGAGAUUUUGAAGGCCCUGUACAGUUUCAAUCAGGGAUGCUGGGUUUCGAUUCCUGCUCUUAUCUAGGAGAUUAUCCAAAAGUAUUGGGAUAAUCUAGUGUUCAGAUGGAAUGAGAAAGCAAAAUCCUGGUCCCUACCCUUUCCACUUGAUUACACAGAUCCUAUUCGACCAGGGCUUUCCAUUUGACCCAGAAGAGGAGACAAAGCUGCCCAUCAAGAAGGAUAAGAGGAAGUAUGGUGCUACUUAAUGGAAGAAAAGCUACAAUGCCUAUCAGACCAGUCUAAAAAAGGUUGCGUUGAAAAAGUUUUAGACUGCAGAUUCACAUGAGGGAUCUCAAAAGGGAUCACCUACCUCUUCCAGGCCCAGAUCUAGAUAGCGCACCACCUCCGGCACAUCCCAGCCUCCCAUAGCUUCCUAGUUCCCGACCGGCAAUUCUUCAGCUCCACCUCCGCCUCCAGCAACUCAAACAGGCCCAUCCUCUCAGCAUGCCAACUCCGCGUCCAGUCUCCGAGGCGAUGUUACUCAGCUCCAGUAUGAGCUCCGACAUUUGAUGCCCGGAUGGUUCAGCAAGUGGCCGAUGUUAAGAGAGGUAUCACCGAUGCUAGGAGAGAUAUUGCAUUGCUCAAGACUGAUGUUGCACAGAUCCGCACUGAUAUGACUAGCUUCCGCGGCGAGGUCACCGACAUGCUUCAUCACAUCACUGAUCUGCUGGAGCCGGAUGUCAUUCCAUGAUUACUCCACUCUCUCUAUUACUCAUUUACUGCUGUGAUACUUAUUUGCUACAUUGCUAUUUUGGGGAUUUAUAUUGUUUUAAUAUAUUCUGCAUGAUUUUGGAUUCUUAGUUUUGGAUA